rnacentral:tRNA from 1 species
CGCGGGAAUAGCUCAGUUGGUAGAGCACGACCUUGCCAAGGUCGGGGUCGCGAGUUCGAGUCUCGUUUCCCGNNN